CAGCAGCCGCGGUAAUACAGAGGGCGCGAGCGUUGUUCGGAAUUACUGGGCGUAAAGCGCGCGCAGGCGGUUGUGCAAGACAGAUGUGAAAUCCCCGGGCUCAACCUGGGAACUGCAUUUGUGACUGCACGGCUAGAGUGCGGCAGAGGGAGAUGGAAUUCCGCGUGUAGCAGUGAAAUGCGUAGAUAUGCGGAGGAACAUCCGUGGCGAAGGCGGCCACCUGGACCAGUACUGACGCUGAGGCACGAAAGCGUGGGGAGCAAACAGGAUUAGAUACCCUGGUAGUCCACGCCCUAAACGAUGCGAACUGGACGUUGGGCUCACUUUGGAGCUCAGUGUCGAAGCUAACGCGUUAAGUUCGCCGCCUGGGGAGUACGGUCGCAAGACUGAAACUCAAAG
rnacentral:rRNA from 1 species